AGGCUGUACGGUUCCUCCGGGUGGAACAAGCAUUUUUAUACCUGUUCACACUACGGACAAUGGAAGUGAUGUUACAACUGUCCCAGAAACGGCUGUUCCAGUUACCACUGUUGAAACUAUAGAAGGGGGAGGUGAUGUCACGAAUGCCCCAGAAACGGCUGUUCCAGUUACCACUGUUGAAACUAUAGAAGGGGGAGGUGAUGUCACGAACGCCCCAGAAACAGCUGUUCCAGUUACCACUGUUGAAACUAUAGAAGGAGGAGGUGAUGUCACGAAUGCCCCAGAAACGGCUGUUCCAGUUACCACAAACU
rnacentral:lncRNA from 1 species